GCUGGGCGUGGUGGCGUGCGCCUGUAGUCCCAGCUGCUUGGGAGGCUGAGGCAGGAGAAUCGUUUGAACCCAGGAGGUGGAAAUUGCAGUGAGCCAAGAUGGGGCCACUACACUCCAGCCUGGGUGACAAAGCGAGACCCUGUCUCAA
rnacentral:SRP_RNA from 1 species